AUUGAACGCUGGCGGCAUGCCUUACACAUGCAAGUCGAACGGCAGCGCGGGGCAACCUGGCGGCGAGUGGCGAACGGGUGAGUAAUAUAUCGGAACGUACCCUGGAGUGGGGGAUAACGUAGCGAAAGUUACGCUAAUACCGCAUACGAUCUAAGGAUGAAAGUGGGGGAUCGCAAGACCUCAUGCUCCUGGAGCGGCCGAUAUCUGAUUAGCUAGUUGGUAGGGUAAAAGCCUACCAAGGCAUCGAUCAGUAGCUGGUCUGAGAGGACGACCAGCCACACUGGAACUGAGACACGGUCCAGACUCCUACGGGAGGCAGCAGUGGGGAAUUUUGGACAAUGGGCGCAAGCCUGAUCCAGCAAUGCCGCGUGAGUGAAGAAGGCCUUCGGGUUGUAAAGCUCUUUUGUCAGGGAAGAAACGGUGAGCUCUAAUACAGUUUGCUAAUGACGGUACCUGAAGAAUAAGCACCGGCUAACUACGUGC
rnacentral:rRNA from 1 species